UCCAACUUUUGUUCUGGGGCACUUUGGACUGCUCUUUUUCCAAUUUAAUUUGGGUAGUUUACACUGGCUUCUGUUUUCUUCUCUGUAUCUGAAGUCAUUCUUUGGCUAUCUGGUGGUGCAGGCCUUUUUCCUUGUCCAUUGUGAUCUCCAGCUUUUGUUUUGGAGCCCUUCAAGCAACAGUGUGUUCUAAUAUAAUUUAGUUAUAUACGACAAACGCCUGCGCACGUUGCAGUAAAUUUAAUAACAUUGCUACAGCCUGAUAGGUGGUGGAUCCUUGUUCAAAAAAUAAAAAAAUAAAAAAAUAAAAGAAGAAGCAAAAAGAAAAAGAAGACGAUGAAAAAAGAAUAAAAAGGGAAAAAAGAACAAAAAGAGGAAAAUAUUUGUACAAUGGCUUGUCCCGUUGGUAGGACGUGGAGGUUUGUCUUUCAGAGUCCAACGUUGUCCGUGGUUAUUUUGCCAUUAGAUAGCUUUCCACAGAAAAGGGCAAUCACGAUAAGGUAUAGAAAUGGAAACAUGAGACUAUCUAACCGAUGUAUAGACAUGGUCAGAGUUAGAGAGCUGCGAAUGAACUUCAAUAUGCAAGUAGAAGAGGAGGUUGCGAAUGCAGCGCUAUUAAGGUAUUCGAGGCAGAGAUAAGAAUAUAAAAGUGGUAUACACCCUGAGCUUGAGCAUGUUGUUGAAUUGUCAUCGUUGAAGAGAAGACCAAGGAAAGGGAGAACAAGAUUGAAGAUGGUGAAAUGGAAUCGCACAUGUUUAUCGGGCCAAAUUUUAUCCAAUAUGAUGAUCACAUGAUGGCCACCGAAGUUGAAGUUACGACAAGACGGUGGCCUGCUAAAAAUAAAUCUGUUGGCUUAACUUCCUCUUGGUGUAACUAAGAUGAGCUAGUUGUUCAGCCUUUGAAGAACCAGAAACAAAUCUGUUGGUGAACUUCCUCUGGGUAAUUGAUGUAGUUGGUUGUUUUAGCAUUUGAAGAGCCAAAAGCAAAUCUAUUGCUUGAACUUCCUUUGGGUGUAAUUGGAGAUGAGCCGGCGUUUUCUUCAUUUGGGCAGCAUGAACAAAUUGAGGCAAGGAAGGAUGGUUCUUAUGCCUUGAAGAAGCAAUUGCUGCACCAACUUCUGAGAUUUUCAUUGGGGCACCACGAACAAAUUGAGGCAGGGAAGGAUAUGGUGUUAUGCCUUGAAGAAGCAAUUGCUACACCAGUCCGAAAUUAUCCAUUGAUGAAAAGGAUAUUGUGAUGGAAAGAGAUAAGAAGCUUGUA